rfam:Fukomys damarensis contig127508, whole genome shotgun sequence.
GGGGAUGUAGCUUAGUGGUAGAGUGCUUGCCUAGUAUGUGAGAGGCCCUAGGUUCAAUCUCUAGCACUCCCU